rnacentral:rRNA from 1 species
UACGGAAGGCAGCAGUGGGGAAUAUUGGACAAUGGGCGAAAGCCUGAUCCAGCCAUGCCGCAUGAGUGAAGAAGGCCUUCGGGUUGUAAAGCUCUUUUAGUGAGAAAGAUAAUGACGGUACUCACAGAAGAAGUCCUGGCUAACUCCGUGCCAGCAGCCGCGGUAAUACGGGAGGGCUAGCGUUAUUCGGAAUUAUUGGGCGUAAAGAGCGCGUAGGCUGAUUAGUAAGUUAAAAGUGAAAUCCCAAAGCUUAACUUUGGAAUUGCUUUUUAAAACUGCUAGUCUAGAGAUUUGAAAGAGGAUAGAGGAAUUUCCCAGUGUAGAGGUGAAAUUCGUAAAUAUUAGGAGGAACACCAGUGGCGAAGGCGUCUAUCUGGUUCAAAUCUGACGCUGAGGCGCGAAGGGCGUGGGGAGCAAACAGGGAUUAGAUACC